rnacentral:rRNA from 1 species
CAAUAGCGUAUAUUAAAGUUGUUGCGGUUAAAAAGUUCGUAGUUGGAUUUCUGUCGGAGACCUGCGGUCUGCGCUACGUGCAUGUAUCUGUAGGGCUCUGGCAUCCUUCCGAAAGACGUCGCUAUGCUUCAUUGCACGGUGCGGAGUUCGGAACUUUUACUUUGAGGAAAUUAGAGUGUUCACGGCAGGCCAACGCCAUGAAUAUAUUAGCAUGGAAUAAUAAUAUAGGAUUUCGGUUCUAUUUUGUUGGUUUCUAGGGCUGAAAUAAUGAUUAAUAGGGACAGUUGGGGGCAUUCGUAUUAAGGCGUCAGAGGUGGAAUUCUUGGAUUGCCUUACGACGAACUACUGCGAAAGCAUUUGCCAAGGAUGUUUUCAUUG